UACGGGGGGAGCAAGCGUUGUUCGGAUUUACUGGGCGUAAAGGGCGCGUAGGCGGUCAGCACAAGUCAGUUGUGAAAUCUCCGAGCUUAACUCGGAAAGGUCAACUGAUACUGUGCGACUAGAGUGCGGAAGGGGCAACUGGAAUUCUCGGUGUAGCGGUGAAAUGCGUAGAUAUCGAGAGGAACACCUGCGGCGAAGGCGGGUUGCUGGGCUGACACUGACGCUGAAGCGCGAAAGCUAGGGGAGCGAACGGG
rnacentral:rRNA from 1 species